rnacentral:rRNA from 1 species
CUACGGGGUGCUCCAGUGGGGAAUAUUGCACAAUGGGCGCAAGCCUGAUGCAGCAACGCCGCGUGAACGAUGAAGGUCUUCGGAUCGUAAAGUUCUUUUCUUAGGGAAGAAAAAUGACGGUACCUAAGGAAUAAGCACCGGCUAAAUACGUGCCAGCAGCCGCGGUAAUACGUAUGGUGCAAGCGUUAUCCGGAAUCACUGGGCGUAAAGGGAGCGUAGGCGGUUUUGCAAGUCAGAAGUGAAAGGCUACGGCUCAACCGUGGUAAGCUUUUGAAACUGCAAGACUAGAGUGCAGGAGAGGCAAGUGGAAUUCCUAGUGUAGAGGUGAAAUUCGUAGAUAUUAGGAGGAACACCAGUGGCGAAGGCGACUUGCUGGACUGUAACUGACGCUGAGGCUCGAAAGCGUGGGGAGCGAACAGGAUUAGAUACCCCCGUAGUC